UUGGUAAGAUUUCUUGAAAUAAGAUUUUCCAGAUCUAUUGUCUAAAAAUAAGUUCUUAUAUCUCACUGAAAAGUUACUCUUUAGGUGAUUAUGUCUUAUUUUAAGUGUGAUGAGAUAUUUGGACUAGAAAUGAG